rnacentral:rRNA from 1 species
GACAGAGGGGGCAAGCGUUGCUCGGAAUUACUGGGCGUAAAGGGCGCGUAGGCGGGAUGGCAAGUCGGUCGUGAAAUCCCUCGGCUCAACCGAGGAACGUCGAUCGAUACUGCUGUUCUUGAGGAUUGCAGAGGAGACUGGAAUUCCCGGUGUAGCGGUGAAAUGUGUAGAGAUCGGGAGGAACACCGGUGGCGAAGGCGGGUCUCUGGGCAAUUCCUGACACUGAGGCACGAAAGCUAGGGGAGCAAACAGG